UACGUAGGGUACGAGCGUUGUCCGGAAUUAUUGGGCGUAAAGAGCUCGUAGGCGGUGUGUCACGUCGGCCGUGAAAACCUGCAGCUUAACUGUGGGCGUGCGGUCGAUACGGGCAUCACUGGAGUUCGGCAGGGGAGACUGGAAUUCCUGGUGUAGCGGUGAAAUGCGCAGAUAUCAGGAGGAACACCGGUGGCGAAGGCGGGGUCUCUGGGCCGAUACUGACGCUGAGGGAGCGAAAAGCGUGGGGGAG
rnacentral:rRNA from 1 species